UCAGGGGUGUUCUGGGUGGGAUUUUUGGGAGCAGGGGUGUUUCAGUGGGAUUUUCGGGAGCAGGGGUGUUUCGGGUGGGUUUUUCAGGGAUCAGGGGUGUUCUGGGUGGGGUUUUUCAGGGAGCAGGACUGUUCUGGGUGGGAUUUUCAGGGAUCAGGGGUGUUCUGGGUGGGUAUUUCAGGGAUCAGGGCUGUUCUGGGUGGGUAUUUCGGGGAUCAGGACUGUUUCAGGUGGGGAUUUUCAGGGAUCAGGGCUGUUUCAGUGGGGUUUUCGGGAGCAGGGCUGUUCUGGGUGGGAUUUUCAGGGAUCAGGGCUGUUCUGGGUGGGAUUUUCAGGGAUCAGGGGUGUUCUGGAUGGGAUUUUCAGGGAUCAGGGCUGUUUCCGUGGGGUUUUCGGGGAUCAGGGCUGUUUCAGGUGGGGUUUUUCAGGGAUCAGGGUGUUCUGGGUGGGUUUUUCAGGGAUCAGGGCUGUUUCAGUGGGAUUUUCGGGGAUCAGGGCUGUUUCAGUGGGGUUUCCAGGGAUCAGGGCUGUUCUGGGUGGGAUUUUCAGGGAUCAGGGCUGUNNNNNNNNNNAGGGAUCAGGGCUGUUCUGGGUGGGAUUUUCAGGGAUCAGGGCUGUUUUGGUGGGAUUUUCAGGGAUCAGGGCUGUUUCAGUGGGAUUUUCGGGGGUCAGGGCUGUUUCAGGUGGGGAUUUUCGGGGAUCAGGGCUGUUUCAGUGGGGUUUUCGGGAGCAGGGCUGUUUCAGUGGGGUUUUCAGGGAUCAGGGCUGUUCCAGUGGGGUUUUCGGGAGCAGGGGUGUUCUGGGGACGCUGACCCGGUGCCCGCAGGUGCAGUGGCUGCUGGACAAUUACGAGACGGCCGAGGGCGUGAGCCUGCCCCGCAGCGCGCUCUACUGCCACUACCUGCUGCACUGCCAGGGCCACAAGCUGGAGCCCGUCAACGCCGCCUCCUUCGGCAAACUCAUCCGCUCCGUCUUCAUGGGGCUGCGCACGCGCCGCCUCGGCACCAGGUCCGCACGUCACCCCGGGAGCUGCCCUGGAAGUGUCCCGAAAAUAGCCCCAAACUGUCCUGAGAGUGUCCUGAAAACAGCCUGAAAGUAUCCUGAAAGUAUCCCCAAAUAUCCCGAAAUUAUCCUGAAAGCAUUCUGAAAAUAAUCCUGAAAAUAGCCUAAAAUAAUCCGGAAAAUGUCCCAAAAGUACCCUGAAAUUAUCCGGAAAAUACCCCAAAAAUAUUCCAAAA
rnacentral:lncRNA from 1 species